rnacentral:rRNA from 1 species
UACGUAGGGUGCAAGCGUUAAUCGGAAUUACUGGGCGUAAAGCGUGCGCAGGCGGUUUGCUAAGAGAGAUGUGAAAUCCCCGGGCUUAACCUGGGAACUGCGUUUCUAACUGGCAGGCUUGAGUGUGGCAGAGGGGGGUGGAAUUCCACGUGUAGCAGUGAAAUGCGUAGAGAUGUGGAGGAACACCGAUGGCGAAGGCAGCCCCCUGGGCUAACACUGACGCUCAUGCACGAAAGCGUGGGGAGCAAACAGG